UACAUGGGGUGCAAACGUUGCUCGGAAUUAUUGGGCGUAAAGAGCUCGUAGGCGGUUUGUCGCGUCUGCUGUGAAAACCCGAGGCUCAACCUCGGGCCUGCAGUGGGUACGGGCAAACUAGAGUGCGGUAGGGGAGAUUGGAAUUCCUGGUGUAGCGGUGGAAUGCGCAGAUAUCAGGAGGAACACCGAUGGCGAAGGCAGAUCUCUGGGCCGUAACUGACGCUGAGGAGCGAAAGCGUGGGGAGCGAACAGG
rnacentral:rRNA from 1 species